rnacentral:rRNA from 1 species
GUAAUAGCUCACUGGUCGAGUCGGCCUGCGCGGAAGAUGUAACGGGGCUAAACCAUGCACCGAAGCUGCGGCAGCGAACGUAUCACCCAAGACAACUUUACGGAGUUGACGAUUGACGGAGCGAAGCGACGUCAAAGCGUUCAUUAAAGUCGAGUUGGCUUAGGGAUACGUUCGUUGGGUAGGGGAGCGUUCUGUAAGCCUGUGAAGGUGUGUCGUGAGGCAUGCUGGAGGUAUCAGAAGUGCGAAUGCUGACAUAAGUAACGAUAAAGCGGGUGAAAAGCCCGCUCGCCGGAAGACCAAGGGUUCCUGUCCAACGUUAAUCGGGGCAGGGUGAGUCGACCCCUAAGGCGAGGCCGAAAGGCGUAGUCGAUGGGAAACGGGUUAAUAUUCCCGUACUUGGUGUUACUGCGAAGGGGGGACGGAGAAGGCUAUGUUGGCCGGGCGACGGUUGUCCCGGUUUAAGCGUGUAGGUGUGUGUUCCAGGUAAAUCCGGUUCACUUUAACACUGAGGCGUGACGACGAGGCACUACGGUGCUGAAGCAACAAAUGCCCUGCUUCCAGGAAAAGCCUCUAAGCAUCAGGUAACACGAAAUCGUACCCCAAACCGACACAGGUGGUCAGGUAGAGAAUACCAAGGCGCUUGAGAGAACUCGGGUGAAGGAACUAGGCAAAAUGGUGCCGUAACUUCGGGAGAAGGCACGCUGACACGUAGGUGAAGUGAUUUACUCAUGGAGCUGAAGUCAGUCGAAGAUACCAGCUGGCUGCAACUGUUUAUUAAAAACACAGCACUGUGCAAACACGAAAGUGGACGUAUACGGUGUGACGCCUGCCCGGUGCCGGAAGGUUAAUUGAUGGGGUCAGCGUAAGCGAAGCUCCUGAUCGAAGCCCCGGUAAACGGCGGCCGUAACUAUAACGGUCCUAAGGUAGCGAAAUUCCUUGUCGGGUAAGUUCCGACCUGCACGAAUGGCGUAAUGAUGGCCAGGCUGUCUCCACCCGAGACUCAGUGAAAUUGAACUCGCUGUGAAGAUGCAGUGUACCCGCGGCAAGACGGAAAGACCCCGUGAACCUUUACUAUAGCUUGACACUGAACAUUGAGCCUUGAUGUGUAGGAUAGGUGGGAGGCUUUGAAGUGUGGACGCCAGUCUGCAUGGAGCCGACCUUGAAAUACCACCCUUUAAUGUUUGAUGUUCUAACGUGGACCCGUAAUCCGGGUUGCGGACAGUGUCUGGUGGGUAGUUUGACUGGGGCGGUCUCCUCCUAAAGAGUAACGGAGGAGCACGAAGGUUGGCUAAUCCUGGUCGGACAUCAGGAGGUUAGUGCAAUGGCAUAAGCCAGCUUGACUGCGAGCGUGACGGCGCGAGCAGGUGCGAAAGCAGGUCAUAGUGAUCCGGUGGUUCUGAAUGGAAGGGCCAUCGCUCAACGGAUAAAAGGUACUCCGGGGAUAACAGGCUGAUACCGCCCAAGAGUUCAUAUCGACGGCGGUGUUUGGCACCUCGAUGUCGGCUCAUCACAUCCUGGGGCUGAAGUAGGUCCCAAGGGUAUGGCUGUUCGCCAUUUAAAGUGGUACGCGAGCUGGGUUUAGAACGUCGUGAGACAGUUCGGUCCCUAUCUGCCGUGGGCGCUGGAGAACUGAGGGGGGCUGCUCCUAGUACGAGAGGACCGGAGUGGACGCAUCACUGGUGUUCGGGUUGUCAUGCCAAUGGCACUGCCCGGUAGCUAAAUGCGGAAGAGAUAAGUGCUGAAAGCAUCUAAGCACGAAACUUGCCCCGAGAUGAGUUCUCCCUGAGACUUAGAGUCUCCUGAAGGAACGUUGAAGACGACGACGUUGAUAGGCCGGGUGUGUAAGCGCAGCGAUGCGUUGAGCUAACCGGUACUAAUGAACCGUGAGGCUUAACCUUACAACGCCGAAG